CGAAAGCCUGACGGAGCAACGCCGCGUGAGGGACAAAGGCCUUUGGGCUGUAAACCUCUUUUCUCAAGGAAGAAGAUCUGACGGUACUUGAGGAAUAAGCCACGGCUAAUUCCGUGCCAGCAGCCGCGGUAAUACGGGAGUGGCAAGCGUUAUCCGGAAUUAUUGGGCGUAAAGCGUCCGCAGGCGGCCGUCUAAGUCUGUUGUUAAAUCGUGGAGCUCAACUCCAUCACGGCAAUGGAAACUGUUCGGCUUGAGUAUGGUAGGGGCAGAGGGAAUUUCCGGUGUAGCGGUGAAAUGCGUAGAUAUCGGGAAGAACACCAGUGGCAAAAGCGCUCUGCUGGGCCAUUACUGACGCUCAUGGACGAAAGCCAGGGGAGCGAAAGGGAUUAGAUACCCCUGUAGUCCUGGCCGUAAACGAUGAACACUAGAUGUUGGGGGAAUCGACCCCCUCGGUGUCGUAGCUAACGCGUUAAGUGUUCCGCCUGGGGAGUACGCACGCAAGUGUGAAACUCAAAGGAAUUGACGGGGGACCGCACAAGCGGUGGAGUAUGUGGUUUAAUUCGAUGCAACGCGGAGAACCUUACCAAGGCUUGACAUCCCGCGAAUCUCUAAGAAACUAGAGAGUGCCUUCGGGAACGCAGUGACAGGUGGUGCAUGGCUGUCGUCAGCUCGUGUCGUGAGAUGUUGGGUUAAGUCCCGCAACGAGCGCAACCCACGUUUUUAGUUGCCAGCAUUAAGUUGGGCACUCUAGAAAGACUGCCGGUGACAAACCGGAGGAAGGUGUGGACGACGUCAAGUCAUCAUGCCCCUUACGCCUUGGGCUACACACGUACUACAAUGCUGCAGACAAAGAGUAGCGAUCUUGCAAAAGUUAGCUAAUCUCAUAAACUGCGGCUCAGUUCAGAUCGUAGGCUGCAACUCGCCUACGUGAAGGAGGAAUCGCUAGUAAUCGCAGGUCAGCAUACUGCGGUGAAUACGUUCCCGGUCCUUGUACACACCGCCCGUCACACCAUGGAAGUUGGCCAUGCCCGAAGUCGUUACUCUAACCUUUUGGAAGAGGGCGCCGAAGGCAGGGCUAAUGACUGGGGUGAAGUCGUAACAAGGUAGCCGUAGCGGAAGCUGCGGCUGGAUCACCUCCUAA
rnacentral:rRNA from 1 species